UUUCAUUAAAAAAUAACCAAAGUGAGGAAUGAGACACUUACAUGCGUAAAUAACUACUGCACCAAGCUGUAUAUGCUCUACUUUUCUUACAUCUCAAUUGUCCGCUUGUAGGGGAUACUCUGUGUGGUCAGAAAAAGCAGAAGCAGAUUUUUCCGCAAUGGUUUAAACAUCUCCAAGAAGGAUGAGUCUAUGAAGUGGAACAUGUUCCCAAUUGUAAUAAUCACUGAAGAGUCCAGGAUGCUUCCAUGUAAAAGAAGCAACACCUACAGGCUCAACUGAGGAAUUUUUUUUUCUACGGCAUUCUCAAUUUCAUGUACCUGUUUUGGAGUUUGAAUGUCCCAUUCCAGAAUGUUCUACAGUCGUAGUUUCCUUGUUAGCCUUGAGAAAAGGUGUGGUCAAAAUUUGUGGACUGGAAAGAAGUGCUUUGGGCCAUCCACUUGGAGGAACUGGAAAUAAAUUACUCCACCACUAAAUUAC